GAUGAACGCUGGCGGCGUGCCUAAUACAUGCAAGUCGAGCGAACGGACGAGAAGCUUGCUUCUCUGAUGUUAGCGGCGGACGGGUGAGUAACACGUGGAUAACCUACCUAUAAGACUGGGAUAACUUCGGGAAACCGGAGCUAAUACCGGAUAAUAUUUUGAACCGCAUGGUUCAAAAGUGAAAGACGGUCUUGCUGUCACUUAUAGAUGGAUCCGCGCUGCAUUAGCUAGUUGGUAAGGUAACGGCUUACCAAGGCAACGAUGCAUAGCCGACCUGAGAGGGUGAUCGGCCACACUGGAACUGAGACACGGUCCAGACUCCUACGGGAGGCAGCAGUAGGGAAUCUUCCGCAAUGGGCGAAAGCCUGACGGAGCAACGCCGCGUGAGUGAUGAAGGUCUUCGGAUCGUAAAACUCUGUUAUUAGGGAAGAACAUAUGUGUAAGUAACUGUGCACAUCUUGACGGUACCUAAUCAGAAAGCCACGGCUAACUACGUGCCAGCAGCCGCGGUAAUACGUAGGUGGCAAGCGUUAUCCGGAAUUAUUGGGCGUAAAGCGCGCGUAGGCGGUUUUUUAAGUCUGAUGUGAAAGCCCACGGCUCAACCGUGGAGGGUCAUUGGAAACUGGAAAACUUGAGUGCAGAAGAGGGAAGUGGAAUUCCAUGUGUAGCGGUGAAAUGCGCAGAGAUAUGGAGGAACACCAGUGGCGAAGGCGACUUUCUGGUCUGUAACUGACGCUGAUGUGCGAAAGCGUGGGGAUCAAACAGGAUUAGAUACCCUGGUAGUCCACGCCGUAAACGAUGAGUGCUAAGUGUUAGGGGGUUUCCGCCCCUUAGUGCUGCAGCUAACGCAUUAAGCACUCCGCCUGGGGAGUACGACCGCAAGGUUGAAACUCAAAGGAAUUGACGGGGACCCGCACAAGCGGUGGAGCAUGUGGUUUAAUUCGAAGCAACGCGAAGAACCUUACCAAAUCUUGACAUCCUUUGACAACUCUAGAGAUAGAGCCUUCCCCUUCGGGGGACAAAGUGACAGGUGGUGCAUGGUUGUCGUCAGCUCGUGUCGUGAGAUGUUGGGUUAAGUCCCGCAACGAGCGCAACCCUUAAGCUUAGUUGCCAUCAUUAAGUUGGGCACUCUAAGUUGACUGCCGGUGACAAACCGGAGGAAGGUGGGGAUGACGUCAAAUCAUCAUGCCCCUUAUGAUUUGGGCUACACACGUGCUACAAUGGACAAUACAAAGGGCAGCGAAACCGCGAGGUCAAGCAAAUCCCAUAAAGUUGUUCUCAGUUCGGAUUGUAGUCUGCAACUCGACUACAUGAAGCUGGAAUCGCUAGUAAUCGUAGAUCAGCAUGCUACGGUGAAUACGUUCCCGGGUCU
rnacentral:rRNA from 1 species